rnacentral:rRNA from 1 species
ACGGGAGGCAGCAGUGGGGAAUAUUGCACAAUGGGGGAAACCCUGAUGUAGCAACGCCGCGUGAGUGAAGAAGUAUUUCGGUAUGUAAAGCUCUAUCAGCAGGGAAGAUAAUGACGGUGCCUGACUAAGAAGCUCCGGCUAAAUACGUGCCAGCAGCCGCGGUAAUACGUAUGGAGCAAGCGUUAUCCGGAUUUACUGGGUGUAAAGGGUGCGUAGGUGGCAGGGCAAGUCAGAUGUGAAAGACCGGGGCUCAACUCCGGGGCUGCAUUUGAAACUGUCUUGCUGGAGUGCAGGAGGGGCAAGCGGAAUUCCUAGUGUAGCGGUGAAAUGCGUAGAUAUUAGGAGGAACACCGGUGGCGAAGGCGGCUUGCUGGACUGAUACUGACACUGAGGCACGAAAGCGUGGGGAGCAAACAGGAUUAGAUAACCUGGUA